rnacentral:rRNA from 1 species
AGCGGCGGAUGGGUGAGUAACACGUGGGGAACCUGCCCCUAAGUCUGGGAUACCAUUUGGAAACAGGUGCUAAUACCGCAUAACAACCAAAAAGCACAUGCUUUUGGUUGAAAGAUGGUUUCGGCUAUCACUUCAGGAUGGCCCCGCGGUGCAUUAGCUAGUUGGUAAGGUAACGGCUUACCAAGGCGACGAUGCAUAGCCGAGUUGAGAGACUGAUCGGCCACAUUGGGACUGAGACACGGCCCGAACUCC